UUUGGCAACCCCCACCGUCCCCUCCCAAAUGCCCUGGCCUCUUCCUGACCACAGAAGCUGAGCAGGGUCAGGCCUGAUUUGUACCUGGAUGGAAGGCCAUGCAGGGACACCAGAGAGCUGCCAGGA
rnacentral:rRNA from 1 species